rnacentral:rRNA from 1 species
GUUACUGACGCUGAGCUCGAAAGCGUGGGGAGCAAACAGGAUUAGAUACCUGGUAGUCACGCCGUAAACGAUGAGUGCUAAGUGUUAGGGGGUUCCGCCCUUUAGUGCUGCAGCUAACGCAUUAAGCACUCCGCUGGGGAGUACGACCGCAAGGUUGAAACUCAAAGGAAUUGACGGGGGCCCGCACAAGCGGUGGAGCAUGUGGUUUAAUUCGAAGCAACGCGAAGAACCUUACCAGGUCUUGACAUCCUUUGACCACUCUAGAGAUAGAGCUUUCCCUUCGGGGACAAAGUGACAGGUGGUGCAUGGUUGUCGUCAGCUCGUGUCGUGAGAUGUUGGGUUAAGUCCCGCAACGAGCGCAACCCUUAUUGUUAGUUGCCAUCAUUCAGUUGGGCACUCUAGCGAAACUGCCGGUGACAAACCGGAGGAAGGUGGGGAUGACGUCAAAUCAUCAUGCCCCUUAUGACCUGGGCUACACACGUGCUACAAUGGACAGUACAAUGAGCAGCGACACGGCGGCGUGAAGCGAAUCUCAUAAAGCUGUUCUCAGUUCGGAUUGUAGGCUGCAACUCGCCUACAUGAAGCCGGAAUCGCUAGUAAUCGCGGAUCAGCACGCCGCGGUGAAUACGUUCCCGGGCCUUGUACACACCGCCCGUCACACCACGAAAGUUUGUAACACCCAAAGUCGGUGAGGUAACCUUCGGGAGCCAGCCGCCUAAGGUGGGAUAGAUGAUUGGGGUGAAGUCGUAACAAGGUAACCA